AUCGAACGCUGCGGCAGGCUUAACACAUGCAAGUAGAGCGAGCGGCGGACGGGUGAGUAAUGCUUAGGAAUCUGCCUAUCAGUGGGGGACAACAUCCCGAAAGGGAUGCUAAUACCGCAUACCAAUAGAUGCGCCUUAGUCGGAUUAGCUAGUUGGAGGGGUAAUGGCCUACCAAGGCGACGAUCUGUAGCGGGUCUGAGAGUAUGAUCCGCCACACUGGGACUGAGCCCCGGCCCAGACUCCUACGUGAGGCAGCAGUAGGGAGUAUUUGGCAAUGGGAGGAACUCUGAUCCAGCAAAGCAGAGUGUGUGAAGAAGGCCUUAAGGUUGUAAAGCUCUUUAAGCGAGGAAGCGUUACUCACAGAAAAAGCACCGGCUAACUCCGUGCCAGCCGCCGCGGUAAUAC
rnacentral:rRNA from 1 species